rnacentral:snoRNA from 1 species
AGAUAAUGGUGAGGGCAAUUUCUGAGUAUACUUUUAAAUCUCUCCUAAGCUUGGUAGAGAUUCUCUCUUUUUUUUAUCUAAAACUCUGAAUCUCGCUUCUCAAGCG